UACAGAGGUCCCAAGCGUUGUUCGGAUUCACUGGGCGUAAAGGGUGCGUAGGCGGUCGGGGAAGUCUGAUGUGAAAUCUCACAGCUUAACUGUGAAACUGCAUUGGAUACUAUCCGGCUCGAGGAAUGGAGGGGAGACUGGAAUACUUGGUGUAGCAGUGAAAUGCGUAGAUAUCAAGUGGAACACCAGUGGCGAAGGCGACUCGCUGGACAAGUAUUGACGCUGAGGUGCGAAAGCGUGGGGAGCAAACAGG
rnacentral:rRNA from 1 species